rnacentral:rRNA from 1 species
CCUACGGGGCGCAGCAGUGGGGAAUAUUGCACAAUGGGGGAAACCCUGAUGCAGCGACGCCGCGUGAGUGAAGAAGUAUUUCGGUAUGUAAAGCUCUAUCAGCAGGGAAGAAAUAGCGACCUUUGGGUCGCCAGACGGUACCUGACUAAGAAGCCCCGGCUAACUACGUGCCAGCAGCCGCGGUAAUACGUAGGGGGCAAGCGUUAUCCGGAUUUACUGGGUGUAAAGGGAGCGUAGACGGCAGCACAAGUCUGAAGUGAAAUGCCGGGGCUUAACCCCGGAACUGCUUUGGAAACUGUGCAGCU